UUUAAAUAAUUAUACAAAUAUAAAUAUUAUUGAAACGUCAAGAGCUAUUUCGAUGAGAACCAUCACGCGACCGGAGUGAAACGCAUAAGAGUAUUUUCCCUCUUAACUUUCAAAGAAAAAACAAGCAUAUAAAGAAAGAAAAAGGAAGAGAGUAAUAGAGUAACCCUUUUACAAUGAUUAAGUACUCUUAAUAAUCUUCUUAUCGCUUAAGAAAACUAAAACUUAACCUUCCACACACCUUAAAGACCAGAAUGGCAACCAUGCCGAUGAGGAAGACACAAACAUCACUAACGCAGUAAUGUAGUAUCACUACUAAUGGAUAUGUACCGAGUAUCUAAAAGACGGAGAACUUGAAAGAGUUAAAACUUGUGCUGCUCGGUAAGAGGGAAAAGUGGAUUCCAAAAUACUCUGGAAUUUUGAUUAUGCAGUAGUCGAUUAAUCGAGUUCAUUGAAUUUUGUUUUAAAAGUUUAUUUUAUAUUUUUUCUGUAAAUUAUUGAAUAUGAUCUAUCGGUAUCGAUUACAAGCUCUUUUAAAAAAUAAUAUUACAAUUCUGUCGCUUGAUAUGAAAGGUCAACACGUAUAUUGGAACUUCCGGUGAUCGAACGGUAUCGAACAAAAGCCGUUCGAGACAAUAAUAAUUGACAUUCAAAUAAUCUAGAAAAAUGUUAUCCUAAUUCUUGAUAAGUUCCAGUUACUAUGAAUUAACCAA